rnacentral:rRNA from 1 species
UACGUAGGUGGCAAGCGUUGUCCGGAUUUAUUGGGCGUAAAGCGCGCGCAGGCGGUCUUUUAAGUCUGAUGUGAAAGCCCCCGGCUUAACCGGGGAGGGUCAUUGGAAACUGGAAAACUUGAGUGCAGAAGAGGAAAGUGGAAUUCCAUGUGUAGCGGUGAAAUGCGCAGAGAUAUGGAGGAACACCAGUGGCGAAGGCGACUUUCUGGUCUGUAACUGACGCUGAUGUGCGAAAGCGUGGGGAUCAAACAGG